rnacentral:rRNA from 1 species
UCGAGAAUCUUCGGCAAUGGGCGAAAGCCUGACCGAGCAAUGCCGCGUGCGGGAUGAAGGCCCUCGGGUUGUAAACCGCGAAAGUAAGGAGGAGGGGCCCGUGAAGAACGGGUCUUGAACGAUCUACAGUAAGGACGGGCUAAGGUCGUGCCAGCAGCCGCGGUAACACGAACCGACCAAACGUUAUUCGGAAUCAUUGGGCUUAAAGGGUGCGUAGGCGGACCAUUAAGUCGGGUGUGAAAUCCUUCGGGUCAACCGAAGAAUUGCGCCCGAUACUGGUGGUCUUGAGGGAGACAGGGGUGAACGGAACUGAUGGUGGAGCGGUGAAAUGCGUUGAUAUCAUCAGGAACACCGGUGGCGAAAGCGGUUCACUGGGUCUCUUCUGACGCUGAGGCACGAAAGCUAGGGUAGCGAACGGGAUUAGAUACCCCCGUAGUCC